AUCGCCGGCGUGGAGCAGACCACCGAUCUCGCCUCGCUCUGGUCCAUCCUUCCCUCCAGCAAGAUUUCCCCCUCCUGGCUUCUACCGCUCGCCCAAAAUCCACUCCCGUGCUACGCUUUUUGACUCCGGCACCGCCUUCGUCGUCGGCGCAUCUCCGGCGGCUCUUCUUCGUUGUCUACGGCGCCCCCACGUGCGCCCUCGCCUCCUUAUGGUCCACCUUGAGCAGGGCGGCGCGGAGGAUCUCUUCCCGUAGGAUCCACGGACGAGGCGCACCCUGCAGUUGCCGGUACGGGACGAGGGCAGGCACGGCGAGCUUGUCCUUCUCGAGGAUGAUGCCGGCGAACGUUGGUACUCCUCCUCGUCGACCUCUAAGGAGGAGCGCCAUUACAACAUAAGCACGCCCCGCCGCUGAACCCCCUUCUCCCCCCAUCCGGUGGCGUGCAGGACGUCAGCAAAUCCAGAGGAGUUAAUGCAGAUUCAAUAUCAGAACCAUCAGAAGUUCAGGAUUGGACAUGGUGUUAUUUUGCUCCAGUUUCUUACAGAGUCAUAUAUAUAUUCGUUUGGAGCAUUUUCAACAACAAAGACGUGCGUUAUGAUCACUUUGGUGUGCAGCCAGAAACAUGGGAUGACCCCUAGUUGAUGUUUGACGAGAGCUGGCCUCGGUUGAUUUGGGCGUUACUGGGUGUAGAGUAGCAUAGUGUUCUUUGAGACGUACUUGUAAAGUUAAUGUUUCCUGUGUUUUCUUUUUGCUCCCGUACUGGUAUACUAUUGGUGUAUUUUUGUA